rnacentral:lncRNA from 1 species
AGACUUUUAGAGGUAGUCUAAAGUAAAAAAAAGGUGGAGCUUGGCCAUCUAAAAGUGUUCGACUGUCCGGCUUAUGCUUUGGUGGAGGAAGCCGAGCAAGCAAGUUGGAUCCGAAGUCACAAAAGAUGAUCUUCAUCGAGUAUCCUGCAGGUGUGAAGGGUUACUUACUGUGGAAUUCAUAUUUUCAAAAGUGUGUCAUCAGCAGGGAUGUGAUCUUUGAUGAAAAGAGUAUCUUGAAGAAGCUGAGA